GUGUAUGCGGGCGUGGCAUCAUCAAGAUUCACAUCAUCGGUCGAUCUACACCACUGAUUUGGUGGUCUUUGGAGUUUGGAGAGGAGAUGCAUGAGAAUCUUGAUGAUGCUGCAUCCGCAGACAA
rnacentral:pre_miRNA from 1 species